rnacentral:ncRNA from 1 species
UGACCCUUAGGAUCGACUAACCCAUGUGCAAGUGCCGUUCACAUGGAAAUACGGGCGAGAGACGAUAGCGAACAAGUACCGGCGAGGGAAAGAUGAAAAGGACUUUGAAAAGAGAGUCAAAGAGUGCUUGAAAUUGUCGGGAGGGAAGGCGGAUGGAGACCGCGAUGCGCCCCGGUAGUAUGUGGAACGGUGAGAGCCGGUCCCGCCGAUCUACUCGGGGCGCGGACCAGCGAGGAUUCGGGGGGCGGCCAAAAGCCCGGGGCCUUUGAUACGCCCGCGGAACGUCGUCUCUUGGAUCGUGGGAAGCAGCGCGCGCGCCGCUGGCGUGCCUCGGCACUGCGCGCUCCGGUCGCUGGCCUGUGGGCUCUCCAUUCGACCCGUCUUGAAACACGGACCAAGGAGUCUGACAUGU